UGCCAGCAGCCGCGGUAAGACGAAGGUGGCAACCGUUGUUCGGAAUCACUGGGCAUAAAGCGCACGUAGGCGGGCAAGUAAGUCGGGUGUGAAAUCCCUCGGCCCAACCGAGGAACUGCGCCCGAUACUGCUUGCCUUGAGGGCAGGAGGGGAUCGUGGAAUUCCUGGUGGAGCGGUGAAAUGCGUUGAUAUCAGGAGGAACACCGGCGGCGAAGGCGACGAUCUGGCCUGCUUCUGACGCUGAGGUGCGAAAGCUAGGGGAGCAAACAGGAUUAGAUA
rnacentral:rRNA from 1 species